UGGGGAAUUUUGGACAAUGGGCGAAAGCCUGAUCCAGCAAUGCCGCGUGUGUGAAGAAGGCCUUCGGGUUGUAAAGCACUUUUGUCCGGAAAGAAAUCCUUGGCUCUAAUACAGUCGGGGGAUGACGGUACCGGAAGAAUAAGCACCGGCUAACUACGUGCCAGCAGCCGCGGUAAUACGUAGGGUGCAAGCGUUAAUCGGAAUUACUGGGCGUAAAGCGUGCGCAGGCGGUUUGCUAAGACCGAUGUGAAAUCCCCGGGCUCAACCUGGGAACUGCAUUGGUGACUGGCAGGCUAGAGUAUGGCAGAGGGGGGUAGAAUUCCACGUGUAGCAGUGAAAUGCGUAGAGAUGUGGAGGAAUACCGAUGGCGAAGGCAGCCCCCUGGGCCAAUACUGACGCUCAUGCACGAAAGCGUGGGGAGCAAACAGGAUUAGAUACCCUGGUAGUCCACGCCCUAAACGAUGUCAACUAGUUGUUGGGGAUUCAUUUCCUUAGUAACGUAGCUAACGCGUGAAGUUGACCGCCUGGGGAGUACGGUCGCAAGAUUAAAACUCAAUGAAUUGACGGGGUCAUAGCUG
rnacentral:rRNA from 1 species